rnacentral:rRNA from 1 species
CAGCCGCCGCGGUAAUACGAGGGGGGCAAGCGUUGUUCGGAAUUAUUGGGCGUAAAGGGCGCGUAGGCGGUUUGGCAAGUUUGGUGUGAAAUCUUCGGGCUCAACUCGAAGUCUGCAUCGAAAACUGCCGGGCUUGAGUAUGGGAGAGGUGAGUGGAAUUUCCGGUGUAGCGGUGAAAUGCGUAGAUAUCGGAAGGAACACCUGUGGCGAAAGCGGCUCACUGGACCAUAACUGACGCUGAGGCGCGAAAGCUAGGGGAGCAAACAGGAUUAGAUACCCCAGUAGUCCCUGUCUCUUAUAC